rnacentral:rRNA from 1 species
AGAGGAAGUAAAAGUCGUAACAAGGUCUCCGUUGGUGAACCAGCGGAGGGAUCAUUACUGAGUUACCGCUCUAUAACCCUUUGUGAACAUACCUACAACUGUUGCUUCGGCGGGUAGGCCGUCCCCUGAAAAGGACGCCUCCCGGCCCGGACCGGACCCCCCGCGGGACCGGACCCGGCGCCCGCCGGAGGAUAACCAAACUCUAUUGUAACGACGUUUCUUCUGAGUGGCAUAAGCAAAAUAAUCAAAACUUUUAACAACGGAUCUCUUGGUUCUGGCAUCGAUGAAGAACGCAGCGAAAUGCGAUAAGUAAUGUGAAUUGCAGAAUUCAGUGAAUCAUCGAAUCUUUGAACGCACAUUGCGCCCGCCAGCAUUCUGGCGGGCAUGCCUGUUCGAGCGUCAUUUCAACCCUCAAGCUCUGCUUGGUGUUGGGGCUCUACGGUCGACGUAGGCCCUCAAAGGUAGUGGCGGACCCUCCCGGAGCCUCCUUUGCGUAGUAACAUUUCGUCUCGCACUGGGAUCCGGAGGGACUCUUGCCGUAAAACCCCCCAAUUUUCCAAAGGUUGACCUCGGAUCAGGUAGGAAUACCCGCU